GCAGGGAUGGUGUAACGGUAACACCUCGUGACUCCAAAUCCGAUGUUCUGGGUUCAAAUCCUAGUCCCUGCGCCA
rnacentral:tRNA from 1 species